rnacentral:rRNA from 1 species
UGAUGCAGCGACGCCGCGUGAGGGAUGACGGCCUUCGGGUUGUAAACCUCUUUCAGCAGGGAAGAAGCUUUCGGGUGACGGUACCUGCAGAAGAAGCACCGGCUAACUACGUG